UUUUCACCAAAAUUUUUGUGAGUACCAUCUGCUCAAUGAAUUUUUAAUAGCCGCGGUAUCUUAACCGUGCUAAGGUAGCAUAAUCAUUAGCCCCCUAAUUAGGGGCUCGUAUGAACGAUGAAACAUUUCAGACACUAUUUUAAAUAAUUUGUUUUAACUUAAACUAAGAAUAAAAAUGUUCUUAUUAACUAAAUAGACGAUAAGACCCUUUUGAACUUUACUCAAGUUUGGCUGGGGCAGCCUAAAAAUAAUUGUCUUUUUACGAAUAUGUUAAAUAAAAGACCCUUUACAAAAGACCCGAUGAACAAGUUACCAUAGGGAUAACAGCGUAAUAUCUUUCUUAAGCUCUUAUAUAAAAAGAAGUUUGCGACCUCGAUGUUGAAUUAGUUUAGCUUAAAAGUGCAAUAACUUUAAAAGUAAGUCUGUUCGACUUUUAAUAUUCUACAU
rnacentral:rRNA from 1 species